rnacentral:rRNA from 1 species
GAGUUUGAUCCUGGCUCAGGACGAACGCUGGCGGCGUGCUUAACACAUGCAAGUCGAACGCGCCUCAGACCUUCGGGUCUGUGGUGAGUGGCGAACGGGUGAGUAACACGUGGGCAACCUACCCUUGACACCGGAAUAACAGCUGGAAACAGCUGCUAAUACCGGAUACGACCUCCGACGGCAUCGUCUGGAGGUGGAAAGCUCCGACGGUCAAGGAUGGGCUCGCGGCCUAUCAGCUUGUUGGUGAGGUAACGGCUCACCAAGGCUUCGACGGGUAGCCGGCCUGAGAGGGCGACCGGCCACACUGGGACUGAGAUACGGCCCAGACUCCUACGGGAGGCAGCAGUGGGGAAUAUUGCACAAUGGGCGAAAGCCUGAUGCAGCAACGCCGCGUGCGGGAUGACGGCCUUCGGGUUGUAAACCGCUUUCAGUUCCGACGAAGGUAACCUGACGGUAGGAACAGAAGAAGGACCGGCCAACUACGUGCCAGCAGCCGCGGUGAUACGUAGGGUCCGAGCGUUGUCCGGAAUUAUUGGGCGUAAAGGGCUUGUAGGCGGUUCGUCACGUCGGAAGUGAAAACUCAGGGCUUAACCCUGAGCCUGCUUCCGAUACGGGCGAACUAGAGGGAUGCAGGGGAGAACGGAAUUCCUGGUGGAGCGGUGGAAUGCGCAGAUAUCAGGAGGAACACCGGUGGCGAAGGCGGUUCUCUGGGCAUUACCUGACGCUGAGAAGCGAAAGCGUGGGGAGCAAACAGGCUUAGAUACCCUGGUAGUCCACGCCGUAAACGGUGGGCACUAGGUGUGGGGGACAUGCCACGUUCUCCGUGCCGC